rnacentral:rRNA from 1 species
GCAUAUCAAUAAGCGGAGGAAAAGAAACCAACAGGGAUUGCCUUAGUAACUGCGAGUGAAGCGGCAAAAGCUCAAAUUUUAAAUCUGGCACCUACGGUGUCCGAGUUGUAAUUUGGAGAGGUAUUGUCGGAUUGAGUGCUAUUCUAAGUUCCUUGGAACAGGACGUCACAGAGGGUGAGAAUCCCGUGUGUGGGUAGCUGUCUCAGUUCAGGUGUGAUGCCUUCGACGAGUCGAGUUGUUUGGGAUUGCAGCUCAAAAUGGGAGGUAAAUUUCUCCUAAGGCUAAAUAACGGCGAGAGACCGAUAGCGAACAAGUACCGUGAGGGAAAGAUGAAAAGAACUUUGAAAAGAGAGUAAAACAGUACGUGAAAUUGUUGAAAGGGAAACGAUUAAAGUCAGUCGUACGGACGGGGAAUCAACCUUUCGAGCGUGGGUACGUGGGAUUCGGAGAGCCUUCGUUCUCGCGUCAUUCGUGUUCUUUGGGUGUACUUUCUCGUAACGUAGGUUAACAUCGGUUUCGAUCGUUAUAAAAUGAACGGAGGAAUGUGGCUUCGAUCUCGGUUGAAGUGUUAUAGCCUUUGUUAGAUGUAACGGUUGGGAUCGAGGAUUGCAACGGAUGCUCGAAUGGGCUAUCCGCCUGAUCUCUGAUUCGACACUUUGGCGUUGAAAGCUUGCUUAUGACGUUGAAGUGAUCGGUCAAAAGGUUAGACCGGAUUAAAUUCGUUAAGGAUGUUGACGUA